rnacentral:rRNA from 1 species
UACGUAGGUGGCAAGCGUUGCCCGGAUUUAUUGGGCGUAAAGAGUUCGUAGGUGGUUUGUUAAGUCUGAUGUUAAAGACUGAGGCUCAACCUCGGGAGUGCAUUGGAUACUGGCAGACUAGAGUAUGGUAGAGGCAAGCGGAAUUCCCAGUGUAGCGGUGAAAUGCGUAGAUAUUGGGAAGAACACAGGUGGCGUAGGCGGCUUGCUGGGCCAUAACUGACGCUGAGGAACGAAAGCCAGGGGAGCGAAUGGG